rnacentral:tRNA from 1 species
GUCCUGGUGUUAUAAUGAUUAAUAUGGCUGCCUCUCAAGUAGUUGACCUGGGAUCAAUCCCCAGCCAAAGCA